rnacentral:rRNA from 1 species
UACGGUAGGGCGCAAGCGUUGUCCGGAAUUAUUGGGAGCGUAAAGAGCUUGUAGGCGGCUUGUCACGUCGGGUGUGAAAGCCCGGGGCUUAACCCCGGGUCUGCAUCCGAUACGGGCAGGCGUAGAGUGUGGUAGGGGAGAUCGGAAUUCCUGGUGUAGCGGUAGAAAUGCGCAGAUAUCAGGAGGAACGACCGGUGGCGAAGGCGGGUCUCUGGGCCGAUACUGACGCUGAGGAAGCGGAAAGCGUGGGGAGCGAACAGG